rnacentral:rRNA from 1 species
GAUGAACGCUGGCGGCGUGCCUAAUACAUGCCAGUCGAGCGAACAGAUAAGGAGCUUGCUCCUUUGACGUUAGCGGCGGACGGGUGAGUAACACGUGGAUAACCUACCUAUAAGACUGGGAUAACUUCGGGAAACCGGAGCUAAUACCGGAUAACAUAUUGAACCGCAUGGUUCAAUAGUGAAAGGCGGCUUUGCUGCCACUUAUAGAUGGAUCCGCGCCGUAUUAGCUAGUUGGUAAGGUAACGGCUUACCAAGGCAACGAUACGUAGCCGACCUGAGAGGGUGAUCGGCCACACUGGAACUGAGACACGGUCCAGACUCCUACGGGAGGCAGCAGUAGGGAAUCUUCCGCAAUGGGCGAAAGCCUGACGGAGCAACGCCGCGUGAGUGAUGAAGGUCUUCGGAUCGUAAAACUCUGUUAUCAGGGAAGAACAAAUGUGUAAGUAACUGUGCACAUCUUGACGGUACCUGAUCAGAAAGCCACGGCUAACUACGUG